CCAGUGGGGCUUCAGCUAGGAAUGUGGGGACGGGGUCUGGCUGGCUUUCCUUUAGAAUUCAAGCCUGAGAUGUGCGGGGAAUGCAGCAAAUGUAACUGUCUUUCUAUCAUUUGAAACCUGAGAUUGGAGUCAAAACUAAGGAAUUGCAGCAGAAAGGAAGAAAUUGGGUCCUCUGGUGACUAUUGAGUCAUGAAUCGAAAUAUGCCUAAAGUGAGAACCCACAACCUUUCCACUCACGUGAGCCAGGAAAUUCUGUUUGGGCUGAGUUUUCUAGUAUUUGCAGCAGAAGAAUCCCUACCUGAUGCAGAAAUUACCCACAUUUUCCAGCUGAGGCAAACAGAGGCCUCAAGAGAUUAGCUAACUUGCCCAAGUUCACACAAAUAACUAAGCCAAAAUUUGAAGCCACUUUGUUUCAUCUUGAAAAGCUGGUGAGGAAGACAAACUGGAUUUUUAACUGACUGCAAUAUGACAAACAUAUGUGAAAAAAGAAAGACACAAUAGGAAGAUAGAGUGAAAGAAGGGCAGAGAGUGAAGGACAGUGUAAUUGAGAAUAAUCGAAAGCGAGCACCUGCAAAGGGAGUGAGGUGAAGUAUCUAGUUCAUAGCAGCCCUCAACAGACAUUCCUACAGUGGAUUGCCAUUAAGCCAUUAUAAAGAACAAGGUCAGUGUUUAUGUGUGGCAUGGAACGUUCUCUAAGGUACAGGAUUAAGUGAAAAGGGCGAGUUACAGAAAGAUAUGUACAGAAUGAGGCAGGGAUUUAGACAUUUAGGUUGAAAACAACAUAAACUGUAUUUUUGUGCAUGAAGCAGGCUCCAUGAUAAAUAGCAGUAGGGAUUUCAGUGUUUGACAAUGGUUAAUAGUGGCCCAAGAGACACCUAGAUAGUAGACAGUGCAGUUAUUUACCAGAAGCAAAAAGAGUGACAGGCACACUGGGGGUGUAAGAAAAUGGCCCCCUUUAUCCAAGAUGCUUAAGAAACUAGAAGAAUGUCCUGCAGAAUAGCAUGGGGGCAAAUCAAAAAGGACUUUGAGGGGAUGUGGCAUGGAAUACAGAUUGAUGAUAACCCUGGCCUGGCCCUUUGCUCUGACUGUUCAAAAGGUUGUCUGCAUCCCACAGAGAGAUGACUCGCGUGGCUUAAAGUCGCCCAGCUAUACCUGUAAUCCCAGCACUUUGGGAGGCCAUGGCAGGCAGAUCACGAGGUCAGGAGUUCAAGACCAGCCUGGGCCAACAUAGUGAAACCCCAUCUCUAUUAAAAAUAUAAAAAAUUA